rnacentral:rRNA from 1 species
AACGAACGCUGGCGGCAUGCCUAACACAUGCAAGUCGAACGAGACCUUCGGGUCUAGUGGCGCACGGGUGCGUAACGCGUGGGAACCUGCCCUUAGGUUCGGAAUAACUCCCCGAAAGGGGUGCUAAUACCGGAUAAUGUCUUCGGACCAAAGAUUUAUCGCCUUUGGAUGGGCCCGCGUUGGAUUAGCUAGUUGGUAGGGUAAAAGCCUACCAAGGCGACGAUCCAUAGCUGGUCUGAGAGGAUGAUCAGCCACACUGGGACUGAGACACGGCCCAGACUCCUACGGGAAGCAGCAGUUGGGAAUAUUGGACAAUGGGCGAAAGCCUGUUCCAGCAAUGCCGCGUGAGUGAUGAAGGCCUUAGGGUUGUAAAGCUCUUUUACCCGGGAUGAUAAUGACAGUACCGGGAGAAUAAGCUCCGGCUAACUCCGUG